rnacentral:rRNA from 1 species
AUUGAACGCUGGCGGCAGGCUUAACACAUGCAAGUCGAGCGGGGGAAGGUAGCCUGCUACCGGACCUAGCGGCGGACGGGUGAGUAAUGCUUAGGAAUCUGCCUAUUAGUGGGGGACAACAUCUCGAAAGGGAUGCUAAUACCGCAUACGUCCUACGGGCGAAAGCAGGGGCUCUUCGGACCUUGCGCUAAUAGAUGAGCCUAAGUCGGAUUAGCUAGUUGGUGGGGUAAAGGCCUACCAAGGCGACGAUCUGUAGCGGGUCUGAGAGGAUGAUCCGACACACUGGGACUGAGAAACGGCCCAGACUCCUACGGGAGGCAGCAGUGGGGAAUAUUGGACAAUGGGGGGAACCCUGAUCCAGCCAUGCCGCGUGUGUGAAGAAGGCCUUAUGGUUGUAAAGCACUUUAAGCGAGGAGGAGGCUACUUUAGUUAAUACCUAGAGAUAGUGGACGUUACUCGCAGAAUAAGCACCGGCUAACUCUGUGCCAGCAGCCGCGGUAA